UGGGGAAUAUUGGGCAAUGGGCGCAAGCCUGACCCAGCAACGCCGCGUGAAGGAAGAAGGCUUUCGGGUUGUAAACUUCUUUUCUCAGGGACGAAGCAAGUGACGGUACCUGAGGAAUAAGCCACGGCUAACUACGUGCCAGCAGCCGCGGUAAUACGUAGGUGGCAAGCGUUAUCCGGAUUUACUGGGUGUAAAGGGCGUGUAGGCGGGGAAGCAAGUCAGAUGUGAAAACCACGGGCUCAACCUGUGGCCUGCAUUUGAAACUGUUUUUGCUUGAGUACUGGAGAGGCAGACGGAAUUCCUAGUGUAGCGGUGAAAUGCGUAGAUAUUAGGAGGAACACCAGUGGCGAAGGCGGUCUGCUGGACAGCAACUGACGCUGAGGCGCGAAAGCGUGGGGAGCAAACAGGAUUAGAUACCC
rnacentral:rRNA from 1 species